rnacentral:lncRNA from 1 species
UGAGACAGAUGAUGUGUAAUACUAUGAUGUGAUCGUGAUAUGAUUGUGAUUGAUGACAUGUGCAUAUUCAUUAUUCAUCCCAUGUGUGAACUAUCUGUUGCAUGAGUUCUGAGACACUGAUAUGAGGAUGGAUGGAUAUGAGACACAGUUGAGACUAGCUCCGGCUAGAGAUAUAUGAGAUGGACUAGCUCCGGCUAGCAAUUUGGAUGCCGAUGGGAUCUGGUUCCGGCGGUGAUACAUGGUCCAUGUGUGGCC